rnacentral:rRNA from 1 species
CAACAGGGAUUGCCCUAGUAACGGCGAGUGAAGCGGCAACAGCUCAAAUUUGAAAUCUGGCCCUCGGGUCCGAGUUGUAAUUUGUAGAGGAUGCUUUUGGUGCGGUGCCUUCCGAGUUCCCUGGAACGGGACGCCAUAGAGGGUGAGAGCCCCGUCUGGUUGGAUGCCAAUCCUCUGUAAAGCUCCUUCGACGAGUCGAGUAGUUUGGGAAUGCUGCUCUAAAUGGGAGGUAUAUGUCUUCUAAAGCUAAAUAUUGGCCAGAGACCGAUAGCGCACAAGUAGAGUGAUCGAAAGAUGAAAAGCACUUUGAAAAGAGAGUUAAAAAGUACGUGAAAUUGUUGAAAGGGAAGCGCUCAUGACCAGACUUGGGCUUGGUAGAUCAACCUGGGUUCUCCCUGGUGCACUCUUCCUCGUCCAGGCCAGCAUCAGUUCGCUGCGGGGGAUAAAGGCUUCGGGAAUGUGGCUCCCUCGGGAGUGUUAUAGCCCGUUGCGUAAUACCCUGCGGUGGACUGAGGUUCGCGUUCUGCAAGGAUGCUGGCGUAAUGGUUAUCAGUGACCCGUCUUGAAACACGGACCAAGGAGUCGUCUUCGUAUGCGAGUGUUCGGGUGUUAAACCCCUACGCGUAAUGAAAGUGAACGCAGGUGAGAGCUUCGGCGCAUCAUCGACCGAUCCUGAUGUUCUCGGAUGGAUUUGAGUAAGAGCAUACGGGGCCGGACCCGAAAGAAGGUGAACUAUGCCUGUAUAGGGUGAAGCCAGAGGAAACUCUGGUGGAGGCUCGCAGCGGUUCUGACGUGCAAAUCGAUCGUCAAAUAUGGGCAUGGGGGCGAAAGACUAAUCGAACCUUCU